UAACAACAGAAGUCUUUGCAAGAUGCAGCUCAGAGGCAAGUUGCAACCAGUUUCGAUUGCCUGAGACUUCGACUUCGACUUCGGGUUCGACUUCAACUUCAACUUCAACUUCAACUGCGACUGGUAGGCGAUUGAUGCAGGGGGGAGUGGCUCUCUUUUGGUUUGCAUGCCAGCAGCAAAUAAAAGGCAAAUACACGCACAAAAUGAUUCUACACUUAAUAAAGGAAGUCAAAUAAGUUAAAAUAUCGAUCUACAUUUAUUUCUGUCAAACACGAAUUUAAUUUUAAAGAUGUUAAAUUGCAAGCCAUGGGCGAUUGGUGUAUCUGAUAGAUUUUAGAUAACCUCGCACAUCGAAAUCGCAAGUACUCAAAUCGGAGAAGAAAAUGAGAAGAAACGCUCCCUAGCAUUAUAUUUCCAACCCUUGCCCCGACAACUCUUCACCUGAGCUGAGCUGCACCCUAUACAAAUUUUAAGUUUCCCGUCGCCAAGAUAUAUUUAAAUAUGUCCGACCAAGAGAGUUCUCAAAGUAUAUUAAUUUUUAGAUCGUUUGCAUAUAAUAAAAAUGUAAUAUAAUAUAAUAUUAUA